GACGAACGUUGGCGGCGUGCUUAAUACAUGCAAGUCAACUGAAGCAGUGGUAGCAAUAUCGCUGUGGAGGUGGCGCACGGGUGAGUAACACGUAGGUAAUCUGCCUUCAGGUCUGGCAUAACUCCGGGAAACCGGGGCUAAUAGCAGAUGAUGCAGCGGCUCGACAUCGAGACAGUUGUUAAAGCUAUGGCGCCUGAAGAUGAGCCUGCGUCUGAUUAGCUAGUUGGCGGGGUAACGGCCCACCAAGGCAACGAUCAGUAGCUGGUCUGAGAGGAUGAUCAGCCACACUGGAACUGAGACACGGUCCAGACUCCUACGGGAGGCAGCAGUAAGGAAUAUUGCUCAAUGGGAGAAAUCCUGAAGCAGCAACGCCGCGUGAGGGACGAAGGGCUUUUGCUUGUAAACCUCUGUAGUGAGAGAAAAAAAUCCCAAUCUUUGAGACAUGAUGGUAUCUCAAAAGUAAGCCCCGGCUAACUACGUG
rnacentral:rRNA from 1 species